rnacentral:tRNA from 1 species
GGCGACGUGGCCGAGGGGUUAGGCAGCGGCCUGCAAAGCCGUGUACCCCGGUUCAAGUCCGGGCGUCGCCU